GGCUCUGACGACGCCAAGGAACAACAAAUAGAAGAAGAAGAAGAUGGAAGUGGAAGUCCGAUGAAGAACUUCCGGGUCGAUCUUCCUGUGAACCUUGUGCAGGAACUUCAGCGCAGGUCCUCGUGGCCGCUGGGGAAGUGGAUUGGAAGAGGUGUUUUCGGAAUUGUUAUUUAACACUGAGAAAGAUCUGUGAAACGUUAGUUGAAAUAUGAAAUAAUUUUCUAUUCCUUGAUGACGGCGAUGAAGGUCAUCGGUGAAAUGGACAACUUCUUGGAAUGGCUCCAAACGCAAGGUCUGAGAGCAGAAACAGCCCAAGCAGUGAUCAAUAUACUUGGAAUUGAGAAUUGGAAGGUUCUUCGAGCUUGUACAGACUCCGAUGCAUUGCAAACAGAGCUCCUCUCUCUCGCCAAAGAGAAAUUUAAAUUUGCAAUGUAUGCUGACUUCUGUAAAUUUGUGAAAUCUUUUUUGAAGCCGCUGAAUGUCCAGCUUGCAGGUUCUUCUCUGUUGGGAAGUCUAUUCGUCAACUUGGAGAAUGUUAUUCGUGAACUUUCCAGUUUCUGCCAAAAGUUUAUUGGAUUCCAAAAUGUGCAGCCGAAAAAUAUUCCUGGUUUCCGAGGAAUCGGUUUGAGUGAUGUCUGCAACCUCCACAAUCAGGAUGAUGGAUUAACACCCAAGUCUGACCGGAGAGCAGACGGGGUUACGGUCGCGGAAACGCUGUGCGAGCGGCUCCAGAGUGGUCGAGGAGAAGGCGAAGGAGAACCUGGAUGACAGGGACGUGGAACCAACGGAUCGGCGGCUCCGAAAAUGUCACAAAGUUCAAGACUCAUUACUUUCAUCUGCAAGUGGCUUCAGCAACUAUCGUGGUGUCCUGAACUGGUGCAUCAUCAUGCUGGUAGGAAUGUUAAAUCCAUGUUUACCCGGUGUACAAGAAGCAAAGAGUGGGGUUCAGCAAUUAUUUCAUGUCUGUCUGUCUUAUCGUUUCAUAAUGGAGGAACAACUUUUGUUUAUUUGAAUGUUUGUUUAUUUUGAACAUUAAUAGAAUACAAGUUUGCUGUUUUUACUGUCCCUUGGCUGAAUUCAUUCCGAUCGCACUUGUGCAGAGAGGUGAGAUAUUUUUAUGUUGGCUGCCUGCUUGGCAGUCAGACAAAAUUGAAAGUCAUUCUAAACAGGAAACUUACCGUUAUAAAUGAUGUUGUAAAGGACACAUGCACCAAGCAUGAAUAAUUAUAAUUUAUGUAACGUUCGGGUGAUUUAAUCGACACUGAGUGAAAAAAGAAAUAAAAUAGACACUGG
rnacentral:lncRNA from 1 species